UACAGAGGCCCCAAGCAUUAUCCGGAAUCACUGGGCGUAAAGGGUGUGUAGGCGGUUGUGUUAGUCUUCCGUGAAAGAUCUUCGGCUUAACCGAGGAGACGCGGAGGAAACGGCACAACUCGAGGUUGCGAGAGGUAAAGGGAACUCAUAGUGUAGGGGUGAAAUCCGUUGAUAUUAUGGGGAACACCAAAUGCGAAGGCACUUUACUGGCGCACACCUGACGCUGAGACACGAAAGCGUGGGAAUCGAAUGGG
rnacentral:rRNA from 1 species